AACGCACAUUGCGCCCUUUGGUAUUCCGAAGGGCAUGCCUGUUCGAGCGUCAUUAUAACCACUCAAGCCUUCGCUUGGUAUUGGGGUUCGCGGUUCCGCGGCCUCUAAAAUCAGUGGCGGUGCCUGUCGGCUCUACGCGUAGUAAUACUCCUCGCGUCUGGGUCCGGUAGGUUGCUUGCCAACAACCCCCAAUUUUUUACAGGUUGACCUCGGAUCAGGUAGGGAUACCCGCUGAACUUAA
rnacentral:misc_RNA from 1 species